rnacentral:tRNA from 1 species
CGGCGCUGUUCACCGACGCCGACGGUCGCGGUCUGCAGGACCGCGCCACCGCCACCGCGGUGGUGCGAAGCCGCUAGCGCCGGC